CAGUCGCCGCGGUAACACGUAGGUCCCGAGCGUUGUCCGGAUUUAUUGGGCGUAAAGCGAGCGCAGGCGGUUAGAUAAGUCUGAAGUUAAAGGCUGUGGCUUAACCAUAGUACGCUUUGGAAACUGUUUAACUUGAGUGUAAGAGGGGAGAGUGGAAUUCCAUGUGUAGCGGUGAAAUGCGUAGAUAUAUGGAGGAACACCGGUGGCGAAAGCGGCUCUCUGGCUUGUAACUGACGCUGAGGCUCGAAAGCGUGGGGAGCAAACAGGAUUAGAUACCCCCGUAGUCCCUGUCUCUUAUACA
rnacentral:rRNA from 1 species